UAGCACCUCCCUCCUUACUCUCUUGCUCCCACUUCACCUUCUGCCAUCAUUGUAAGUUUCCUGAGGCCUCCACAGAAGCUCAGCAGAUGUCAGUGUCAUGCUCCCUGUACAGCCUACAAAACUGUGAGGAUUCAGGAGAUAAUUCUGCGAACAGAAAUUCCUGAGAACUGAGAUGGGGGAAAUCGCUGGUAUUAGAAGGGUGAAAAGGUCAGUAAUUAAGGCUACGACUGUGCUCUUAGAGGCAAAAGAAGAAAAUGAGACUGCCAGGCAUGAAUAAUGAGAAA